rnacentral:rRNA from 1 species
CAAUAGCGUAUAUUAAAGUUGUUGCAGUUAAAAAGCUCGUAGUUGGAUUUCUGGUGGGAGCGAUCGGUCUGGCGCUUAGCGCGAGUACUUGCAUCGUCUCCGGCCAUCCUUGGGGAGAGUCUGUCUGGCAUUAGGUUGUCGGGCAGAGGAUCCUCAUCGUUUACUGUGAAAAAAUUAGAGUGUUCAAAGCAGGCUUAUGCCGUUGAAUAUAUUAGCAUGGAAUAAUAAGAUAGGACUUUGGUACUAUUUUGUUGGUUUGCGCACCAAAGUAAUGACUAAUAGGGACAGUUGGGGGUAUUCGUAUUCCGUUGUCAGAGGUGAAAUUCUUGGAUUUACGGAAGACGAACUACUGCGAAAGCAUUUACCAAGGAUGUUUUCAUUAA